UCUAAUUUUUAAAGUUUGACAGAACUUUGUUUAUAGUCAAUUUAACUGUUUUCCCCCUUUGUAGUCAAUCAUUUGAGCCCAGAUUCUGCAAACAUUGACACAUGGCUAACUUUACCCAUGCCAUCUGUGAGAGGCAUAACUCACAGUGCUUUAAGUGUCCUCAGAAUUGAGACCUUAGUCAGUUUCUUCUGUCUGUUUGGGUCUCUCUCACAGCAACCAGUGAGGGAAAAACAUUUAAAAGAGGGAAUUGUAACAGGUGGCUUACCACUUAAUGGCUGGAGGCCAGCCCUGAUUACAAAACAGUCCCCACCUCUGAGGAAUCAGGCAAUUCCAGUAUAAAAUCAACAGGAAGGGGUAGGAGGUUGUCUAGAAAUCUGUGGCCAUGCCUGUAGAGAUUGAGGAUAUGUCUACACAAGAAUAGCACAGCUGCAGCUAUGCUACUGUACUGUAGACACUUGUUGCAGUGAUGGAAGGGUUUUUUCCAUUAUUGUAGUAAAUCUUCCCCUCUGAGGGGUGGCUGUGGCUAAGUCAAUGGAAGAAUUCUUCUGUGGAUUCGGUAUCCUGCUCUGUAUGUUGGGGUUUAUUUUGGCCAUCACAGUCAGCGUGCUGGACAAAGUGGGCAUGAAGCAGCUUGGCUUGGAUGGGGUUAUCCAGCAAGAGUCCAAGAAAGUGCGGGUUCAGGAUGGCUGACAACUGCCACUUCGCUACUGGCUCCUAGUCCUAACCAUCAUGUUCUUCUACAACGGGGUCUUCCCUUUCAUGGCAGAUGCCAGCAAGUUUAUCCAGGAUAAGUACUCUGGCUACAGUCAGCAGGCAGCCGCUUACAUUGCUGGGGCGGUAUAUGACAGCUCCCUUGUUCUCUCUGCAGCAGUUGGCAUAUUAAUUGACUGUGUAGGACUGAGAGGUUUGUUUGCAGUUCGUUGUGCUGUGCUGACUCCGCCAGUCUUUGCUCUCCUGGCAUUUACAUUUGUUCCUCCGCUUGUCUCUACCAUCUGUCUGGGGAUCACUUACUCCUUUGCUGCUGCGAGUCUGUGGCCAUCCAUACCCCUUGUGGUUCCCCAGCUUAUGUGGUGCACUUUUUGAAAUGGACUACACUACACUGUUUAGAGUCUAAACUCAAUCCACCUGAAGUUUGUUCUAAGCAACUAUAUGUCGUCUUCUAAUUCACCUUAAUUUAUCAUUAUAAAUGUGUCAAUAUAAGGUAUUUCAUUAAAAUAUCACUGCACCUUCACAGAAAGCUCCUCACACAGUGGCGUGAAUGGGUUGAGGAGCCUUCCAUUUCAAUAAUUGCUGUCGAUUGUCAAUGUCCUGUCACAAAUUUAUUGUGUGUGUAAAUAAGAUUGCCAUUUUGUCCUGGCAGAGGCUGCUGGGAUUGUUUUUACUUAUUUUAAAUUGGCAAGACCAAUUAUAUGAAAAGUAGCCAAACUUUUUGCUUAACACUCCACAAGCUGCAUUAUUCAGAUACAGAGAUGUUACCUUCAAAUGGUAUGAAACGGUUGAUUGAAAAUAAUAAAUAAACCCCUUAAAACCUGAACUUAUACUGUCAAUGCACAUUGAUCAUUGACUUGUCCGGAUGAGUAAAACAAUCAUCUUUACUAUGCAACCUCUUGAAUGGUGCUCUUAUAAGCAUUGAGGAUGAUGCUUCAAGUGCGUGCUAACUUCAUUGUUAAACAGCUGAGAGCAACCACCUGAAAGAUGAUUUGCUAAAAAAAACAGGUAUGGAAUUUGCUGCUUGUACAUGGUUGAACAAUUGCAGAGUAAAAUUACUAACUUCUGUAUUAAUGUGAGAACAGAAGGUGUACUGAUGAGUCCAAUAAAGUAACCUUUUCUAAAGUAAUUGUUACAGAGGAGAAAUCCUCUAU